AAUUUAUAAAUUUCUUUUCAGUGCAAGGAGUUAAGUAGUUGAAAGAAAAGACUGGCAGUGAGAAACAGAAAUUCUGAUUAAAAAAUGAGGAACAAAAGAACUUUAAGGCUGUCUUCCUGAGAUACUGGAGUCAAUACAGGCCAGAUGGUAGGAGACAGAUGAUUUUACUAGUUGGAUCAUUUUAAGCAUGUGAUUACAACGUUAUGAACAGCAAGUUGACAACAAGUUUGUGGUGAAAGUUACAACGCUUUAAAGGACAUAUGAUCUGCUGUGCUUUUCAAAAUCCCCAAAUAGGUAAUUGCCUCUCAGUGAAGGUAGCUGAGCUUCAAGACCUAAUUUCCUCCAGUUUCCUACCAGCUUCUGAAAGGCCUGGUCUUCAGAAAUUAUCAUUGGGCAUCAGGCUCCAGGACAUACAAAUGCUCUGGUUUACAGAAACAAAGGAGUGGAAUAGAAGCUCAGUAAAUUCAGAAGAAUAUAUGUUUCAGCACCCAAAAUGAGGGGUACUCGUUACAAACAUAUGGAAAUCUAUUUUGGGGAAAGGUAUAGAUUAUUUGUUAUGCAUUAAAUGCUUUACACAUGCAGUGGUCUACACAAGUCUCAGUUCAUGUUUCAGACUAACAAAAAAACAGUGCCAGUGUGGAGAUAAAGCGGGACAAAAAGUGAUGAUGAGGUUGAAGAUGGGUUAUUUUAUUCUCUAAAUGUGAGUUCCCAGCUCUACAUACAUCAAAAAGAGUAAAACAGCAAGACUGUAACUUAAAUACAUGGGAAACAUAGAGUUGAAACAUACUGGUCAGAGCUGAGGAAGGGAAGAAAAAUGACAAGUUCUUUAUUUGCUUACUUUAAAAUGGGAGCACAAAGGGAUGUCUACUACUUGUAUAUUUUCCCUUCUCCCAGCUUCUUUAGUACAAUAUACAUACAGGAAUAAUUGACUGGGGUUUUGAUAUUUGAUUGUUUUACACGCAGACUUUUCUUCCCUCCCUUUAAAACCCCCCCCCAUAUUCUUAAAUAGAAAGCUACUUUUGCCUCUGUGCACUCUACCAUUAUUUUGAGGGGUCUUAUUUUUCUGUAGUAGUAUCCAGAUGGAAAGAGUGUGACUUCUGUAAUAAAUAAUACAAAUGAGAUGCUACCA
rnacentral:lncRNA from 1 species